UGCAUCUGCCUCUCUGCCUACGAGGAUGAAACCGAGCUGCGCGAGCUCCCUUGCCGUCACCGCUUCCACUGCACCUGCAUAGACAAGUGGCUAUACAUCAAUGCCACCUGCCCUCUCUGCAAGCUGAACAUACUAAAAAAUGCCAGCCAAAGUGGGUGUGAAGGAGGAUAAUAAAAAACAUAAACUCUUCUCGAGUAGAGAUUGAUUUAGCAUCUAUCUAUGUUGUGUGUGUGGUUUGUGCAUAUUGACUGCUGGC
rnacentral:lncRNA from 1 species